rnacentral:rRNA from 1 species
UAUGGUAAAAAUAUGGUCUAAAAGGUAAAACAUGGUGAUCUCGGAAGCUAAGCAGGGUUGGGCCUGGUUAGUACUUGGAUGGGAGACCACCUAGGAAGACCAGGUGCCAUAG